AAUGAACGCUGGCGGCGUGCCUAACACAUGCAAGUCGAGCGAGAAAGUCUCCUUCGGGAGGCGAGUAAAGCGGCGGACGGGUGAGUAACACGUGGACAACCUGUCCUAGAGUGGGGAAUAACCUGGGGAAACUCGGGCUAAUACCGCAUACGCUCGCAUGGUUGCGACCAUGCGAGGAAAGUUGGCCUCUACAUGUAAGCUGACGCUCAAGGAGGGGUCCGCGCCUGAUUAGCUAGUUGGUGGGGUAAUGGCCUACCAAGGCGACGAUCAGUAGCCGGCCUGAGAGGGUGAUCGGCCACACUGGGACUGAGACACGGCCCAGACUCCUACGGGAGGCAGCAGUGGGAAUAUUGGACAAUGGGGGCAACCUGAUCCAGCAACGCCGCGUGGAGGAUGAAGGCCUUCGGGUCGU
rnacentral:rRNA from 1 species